UAACAAGGAUUCCCCUAGUAACUGCGAGUGAAGCGGGAAAAGCUCAAAUUUAAAAUCUGGCGGUCUUCUGGCCGUCCGAGUUGUAGUCUGGAGAAGCGUUUUCCGCGUUGGACCGUGUACAAGUUUCCUGGAACGGAGCGUCAUAGAGGGUGAGAAUCCCGUCUUUGACACGGACCCCAAUGCUUUGUGAUGCGCUCUCAAAGAGUCGAGUUGUUUGGGAAUGCAGCUCAAAAUGGGUGGUGAAUUCCAUCUAAAGCUAAAUAUUGGCGAGAGACCGAUAGCGAACAAGUACCGUGAGGGAAAGAUGAAAAGCACUUUGGAAAGAGAGUUAAACAGUACGUGAAAUUGUUGAAAGGGAAACGCUUGAAGUCAGUCGCGUCGGCCGGGACUCAGCCUUGCAUCCGCUUGGUGUACUUUCCGGUCGACGGGCCAGCAUCAGUUUUGACCGCGAGAUAAAGGCGGAGGGAAUGUGGCUCUCUCGGGAGUGUUAUAGCCCUUCGUCGGAUGUCGCGGUUGGGACUGAGGAACUCAGCACGCCUUUAUGGCCGGGGUUCGCCCACGUACGUGCUUAGGAUGCUGGCGUAAUGGCUUUAAACGAC
rnacentral:rRNA from 1 species